rnacentral:rRNA from 1 species
CACGCCGUAAACGAUGAGUGCUAGGUGUCGGGGGUUCACACCCUCGGUGCCGGAGUUAACGCAUUAAGCACUCCGCCUGGGGAGUACGGUCGCAAGACUGAAACUCAAAGGAAUUGACGGGGACCCGCACAAGCAGCGGAGCAUGUGGUUUAAUUCGAAGCAACGCGAAGAACCUUACCAGGACUUGACAUCCCUUUGACCGGCCCUUAACCGGACCUUUCCCUUCGGGGACAAAGGAGACAGGUGG